UUUUAGAGACCUGAAUAGGAUUCGGUUUCGACCCGAAACAAAAAACUGAAUAAAUUUGUUUUUCUAAAAA
rnacentral:tRNA from 1 species